rnacentral:lncRNA from 1 species
AUGUCCCCGCACGGCCCGGCACGGCCCGCGUUGGCCUCCGCUCGGUUUCCCGUCGCGGCCCGGCUCCCUCCUCCCGCUGGCCGCCCGUUCCUCUCCGCUCCGGCCUUGCCCUCCCCGCCCGGCGGCGCACACACAAUGCCCGGGUCCUCCAUCUUGCCGGCAGCCGCCGCUCGGCUCGGGGGAAGGGGGAGGAGAAGGAGAAGGAGGUUCUCCAUUUUAGCUCGCCGAGCGCCGGGCCCGGCCUGCCGGCGGCCCUCCCCGGGCCGGAGGAGCGGGCCCCGUGCCGGUGUCCGGGGUGCCGCUUUCGGGGCCCUCCUCUCUCCGCCGGCGCCGCCGCUCGCGUGCCCCCCUCCCCGCCGAACGCGCCGGGGGAGGGGGUGGGAGAGGGGGGGGGGGUGUGGAGCGGGGGCCGGAGUGUUUUCGCGGCUCGGCCCCGCCGUCCUCCAUCUUGGCUGCGCCGAUCCCCGCGCCCCGCCGCCCCGCGCCGCGCCCCGGCCCGACCCCGCUCCGCCGCCGCGCGGCCCGUUCCCGCGUCCCCCCUCCAAACUUCCAGAAGCUUCGCCGCCAUUUUCUAACUUACCUUGCCCAGCGUCGGCGCGGGCGGCGAGGAGGCCCCGGGCGCGGCGCCGCGCUCCUCCGUCCCCGGCUCGGCCGCCUCUCGCUCGCCCGGCCCGGCCCGGAGACGUGCCGGCGGGGGGAGGGGGGGGGGUCUGUGCCCGGCGGGGAGCGGGCAGGUUAUUUAAUUUGGCGGCGGCGCCGGGGAUUGUUUGGGGUGUUCGCGGCUCGGCGGCUCGCGAGCGAAUGGAGGCCGCAGGCGCCACCUGGCGGCCGCCGGGCGCGGCCCGCUCUCCUGGGCGUGGGGCGACAUCUGCCGGCCGGCCGAGGAGAGCCGCGCCGCGCGGGGUAAACAAGGCCCUGCGCAUGCGCGCAACGCUCCCCCCGCCCCCUCCCCGGCCGGCCGGGCGAGGAGCCCCGGCUGUGCGGGGCAGCGGCGAGCGGAGAGCCGGGAGGGGCCGGGCCGAGGGGGGAGGCGCAGCUGGCGGCUGCAUUCACGGGGCGGGAUCGGGUGAACGAAGGGAGAGGGCGGGAGGCUGCCGAGAGGGACGGCCUGAACCCUCCGCAGGGCUCUGA